UACGAAGGGGGCUAGCGUUGUUCGGAAUCACUGGGCGUAAAGGGCGCGUAGGCGGCUUUAUAAGUCGGGGGUGAAAGCCUGUGGCUCAACCACAGAAUUGCCCUCGAUACUGUAGAGCUUGAGACCGGAAGAGGUAAGUGGAACUGCGAGUGUAGAGGUGAAAUUCGUAGAUAUUCGCAAGAACACCAGUGGCGAAGGCGGCUUACUGGUCCGGUUCUGACGCUGAGGCGCGAAAGCGUGGGGAGCAAACAGG
rnacentral:rRNA from 1 species